rnacentral:rRNA from 2 species
UCUGGUGUCAGCCGCCGUGGUAAAACCAGCACCUCAAGUGGUCAGGAUGAUUAUUGGGCCUAAAGCAUCCGUAGCCUGCUUUGUUAGUUUUCGGUUAAAUCCAUACGCUCAACGUAUGGGCUGCCGGGAAUACUGCAAAGCUAGGGAGUGGGAGAGGUAGACGGUACUCGGUAGGAAGGGGUAAAAUCCUUUGAUCUAUUGAUGACCACCUGUGGCGAAGGCGGUCUACCAGAACACGUCCGACGGUGAGGGAUGAAAGCUGGGGGAGCAAACCGGAUUAGAUACCCGGGUAGUCCCAGCUGUAAACUAUGCAAACUCGGUGAUGCAUUGGCUUGAUGCCAAUGCAGUGCCGCAGGGAAGCCGUUAAGUUUGCCGCCUGGGAAGUACGUACGCAAGUAUGAAACUUAAAG